UUCUACAAGAAGUGUGUUCUGCAGCUGGAUGAAAUGUUCUUUUGUUUUUCACAGCCAUGUUCCCGACGUUCCUCGGGCCAAGCCGGACCUGGCGGGAGCAGCCCCUUCCAGCCGAAAGGAAUGUCCAUAAAUCAUCAGAAUCACACCUCUGCAAUAGAUUCAUGGGAUGAUGACAGGCUACUUCUUCUGCGUCCCUGUUUCAGACAGAAACGACGAUUCUCCCCAGCGCUGAAUAAGAAUUGGCCUUUAUGGGCCUGGAGACCAUGGCUCCAAGUCUUGGGUCUGGAGAUGAUGGAGAACACCUCUCAGCUUUCUUUCGUUCGGGACCUCCUUUCGGUGCCUUUCCUCCUAGCAGUUUUCCGCUAGGUUCCUUCUAAUGGUGGCGACACAAGAGAGAACUGGGCUCAUGGUUUCCACGUAGGACAAAAAGAAGAGUUCGAUGUUUCAGGAGUGUGUGUUCAAGAUGUUCCUUUUCCAGUGUGGCUUUCCACAGCCUUCAGAACUUGGAAAGUGUUGCGUCACUUGAAAGACCAGUUUGAAAAGAGGUUGGGUUGGGAGGAGAAGCCAGAAAUGGUACGGAGGAAAUAAAUCUGUAUUUCUCAGCUCCCAGUUGAGGGUCACAGAAAGAACCCAAUGCAGGUUCUUGGGGAGGCAGGAAUAACAACAAAGGAAGGUGUUUUGAGUUGACUUCCUCACCCCCCCCCCCAAAAUGACAAUGAACUUAGCCAAGUCUGGUGGAGAAGACAUCUCUGCACCCAUCUGAGCUUUCAGUGACAAACUCCUUUUUAAGAUAAGACUGCCAAAUUCCCAGAUACCGAACCUAUUUUUGAGGUGUGUUCUCUCUCGAAGGUUCAUCCUUCAAAGGGCAUUUGACCCGAGGGCACCCACUUUCCACCAGCUCAUUGCUACAUUUGCUGGGCUGAGAUUGGGGCUGCACAAUUCAGGGUGGUGGGAAAUCCAACCAAAUUCCACACCCUGCUCUGCAUUUCAGAUGCUAGAGCCGUGUUUCCCAAAUCAUCAUGCUCUCCAAAUGUUUUGGGCCAGGAACAGAAGACUAACACGUCAGAAAACACCAGCGCAGCUUCCAAGUCUGUUUAGCUCCAAGAUGGAAGAACAUUUCCCAGGACCCCCAAGAGACGGAUCUUCAAACUGUGCAGAGUUCCCAGGCAAAACUCACCCAGCUGAAACCUACCCCAAAAAAGUUGUGAAAGAGAAUAGAAGCUGCUUUUCCUUCUUGUGGAAUGGUUCAGUUGGUGCGAGGGCUUCUAAGCAUGAGAACUGGUUUACGGGGCUGGGAGUGAGCGGCUUUGAAGUUUUGAACUCUUGGCACUGCCAGCUAUGAAUUAGGACUUAAAAGCAGGCCGCCGCUGGCAUUCUUUGGAGCGUUUUGGCUCCGGAGACAGACUGAAAGGGAACUGAACUCAGGCUUCGCAUCUUGGAGCAUGUGCUGAGCGGGUGAACUGCAGAUGUAUGGGGGAGAACUUCCUUCUGGGGUUCUGCCUCAGCCCAGGCCCUGUUGAAGGACCGGGAGGAACGCACUGACUUCACAUUUGGACGUGAAUUUAAACCCCAUUUUGUGUUUCCCACCUAGCAGGGAACCCAAAAUUGGGUUAUCCUUCAAAAUUCACUCUUCUUGGUAUUUUGCAAUGCCCCCAGU